rnacentral:rRNA from 1 species
GAUGAACGCUGGCGGCGUGCCUAAUACAUGCAAGUCGAGCGAACAGACGAGGAGCUUGCUCCUCUGACGUUAGCGGCGGACGGGUGAGUAACACGUGGAUAACCUACCUAUAAGACUGGGAUAACUUCGGGAAACCGGAGCUAAUACCGGAUAAUAUAUUGAACCGCAUGGUUCAAUAGUGAAAGACGGUCUUGCUGUCACUUAUAGAUGGAUCCGCGCCGCAUUAGCUAGUUGGUAAGGUAACGGCUUACCAAGGCAACGAUGCGUAGCCGACCUGAGAGGGUGAUCGGCCACACUGGAACUGAGACACGGUCCAGACUCCUACGGGAGGCAGCAGGAGGGAAUCUUCCGCAAUGGGCGAAAGCCUGACGGAGCAACGCCGCGUGAGUGAUGAAGGUCUUCGGAUCGUAAAACUCUGUUAUUAGGGAAGAACAAAUGUGUAAGUAACUAUGCACGUCUUGACGGUACCUAAUCAGAAAGCCACGGCUAACUACGUG